rnacentral:rRNA from 1 species
AUUGAACGCUGGCGGCAGGCCUAACACAUGCAAGUCGGACGGUAGCACAGAGGAGCUUGCUCCUUGGGUGACGAGUGGCGGACGGGUGAGUAAUGUCUGGGGAUCUGCCCGAUAGAGGGGGAUAACCACUGGAAACGGUGGCUAAUACCGCAUAACGUCGCAAGACCAAAGAGGGGGACCUUCGGGCCUCUCACUAUCGGAUGAACCCAGAUGGGAUUAGCUAGUAGGCGGGGUAAUGGCCCACCUAGGCGACGAUCCCUAGCUGGUCUGAGGGGAUGACCAGCCACGCUGGAACUGAGACACGGUCCAGACUCCGACGGGAGGCAGCAGUGGGGAAUAUUGCACAAUGGGCGCAAGCCCGAUGCAGCCAUGCCGCGUGUAUGAAGAAGGCCUUCGGGUUGUAAAGUACUUUCAGCGGGGAGGAAGGCGAUGCGGUUAAUAACCGCAUCGAUUGACGUUACCCGCAGAAGAAGCACCGGCUAACUCCGUGCCAGCCGCCGCGGUAA